rnacentral:tRNA from 1 species
GCCGUGGUAGUGUGAUUGGUAAGCACAACAGACCGGAUAUUUGUUAGUGCGGGUUCGAGCCCCGUCUGAAGUU